rnacentral:rRNA from 1 species
GGCGGCAGGCCUAACACAUGCAAGUCGAGCGGAAACGAGUUAUCAAAGCCUUCGGGUGGCGAUAACGGCGUCGAGCGGCGGACGGGUGAGUAAUGCCUGGGAAAUUGCCCUGAUGUGGGGGAUAACCAUUGGAAACGAUGGCUAAUACCGCAUGAUAGCUUCGGCUCAAAGAGGGGGACCUUCGGGCCUCUCGCGUCAGGAUAUGCCCAGGUGGGAUUAGCUAGUUGGUGAGGUAAGGGCUCACCAAGGCGACGAUCCCUAGCUGGUCUGAGAGGAUGAUCAGCCACACUGGAACUGAGACACGGUCCAGACUCCUACGGGAGGCAGCAGUGGGGAAUAUUGCACAAUGGGCGCAAGCCUGAUGCAGCCAUGCCGCGUGUAUGAAGAAGGCCUUCGGGUUGUAAAGUACUUUCAGCAGUGAGGAAGGCAGGUACGUUAAUAGCGUGCUUGUUUGACGUUAGCUGCAGAAGAAGCACCGGCUAACUCCGUGCCAGCAGCCGCGGUAAUACGGAGGGUGCGAGCGUUAAUCGGAAUUACUGGGCGUAAAGCGCAUGCAGGUGGUUUGUUAAGUCAGAUGUGAAAGCCCGGGGCUCAACCUCGGAAUUGCAUUUGAAACUGGCAGACUAGAGUACUGU